CAAUAAUAUGAAACGGGACAUUUUCAAUUUAUUCUGGCAUUUAAAGCAAGAGGAACUAAGUUUCAAAGAAACGCUCCAGAACUCUAGGGAAUUUGUGUCUUGAUACAUCAAUAACAACUUAAGCUGUCA